UACGUAGGUGGCAAGCGUUGUCCGGAUUUAUUGGGUUUAAAGGGUGCGUAGGCGGUCUUUUAAGUCAGUGCUGAAAUAUCCCGGCUUAACCGGGAGGGUGGCAUUGAUACUGAAGGACUUGAGUUCAGUCGAGGUAGGCGGAAUUGACGGUGUAGCGGUGAAAUGCUUAGAUAUCGUCAAGAACACCGAUAGUGUAGACAGCUUACUAGGCUGAAACUGACGCUGAGGAGCGAAAAGCGUGGGGAGCGAACAGG
rnacentral:rRNA from 1 species